AGAGUUUGAUCCUGGCUCAGAUUGAACGCUGGCGGCAUGCCUUACACAUGCAAGUCGAACGGCAGCACGGGUACUUGUACCUGGUGGCGAGUGGCGAACGGGUGAGUAAUACAUCGGAACGUACCUUAUCGUGGGGGAUAACGCAGCGAAAGCUGUGCUAAUACCGCAUACGCCCUGAGGGGGAAAGCGGGGGAUCGAAAGACCUCGCGCGAUUAGAGCGGCCGAUGCCUGAUUAGCUUGUUGGUGGGGUAAAAGCCCACCAAGGCGCCGAUCAGUAGCUGGUCUGAGAGGACGAUCAGCCACACUGGGACUGAGACACGGCCCAGACUCCUACGGGAGGCAGCAGUGGGGAAUUUUGGACAAUGGGGGAAACCCUGAUCCAGCAAUGCCGCGUGAGUGAAGAAGGCCUUCGGGUUGUAAAGCUCUUUUGUCAGGGAAGAAACACCGGCUCUAACACAGUCCGGGAAUGACGGUACCUGAAGAAUAAGCACCGGCUAACUACGUGCCAGCAGCCGCGGUAAUACGUAGGGUGCAAGCGUUAAUCGGAAUUACUGGGCGUAAAGCGUGCGCAGGCGGUUAUACAAGACAGGCGUGAAAUCCCCGGGCUUAACCUGGGAAUGGCGCCUGUGACUGUAUAGCUAGAGUGUGCCAGAGGGGGGUAGAAUUCCACGUGUAGCAGUGAAAUGCGUAGAUAUGUGGAGGAAUACCAAUGGCGAAGGCAGCCCCCUGGGAUAACACUGACGCUCAUGCACGAAAGCGUGGGGAGCAAACAGGAUUAGAUAUCCUGGUAGUCCACGCCCUAAACGAUGCUGACUAGUUGUUCGGAAUUUACAUUCUGAGUAACGUAGCUAACGCGUGAAGUCAGCCGCCUGGGGAGUACGGUCGCAAGAUUAAAACUCAAAGGAAUUGACGGGACCCGCAC
rnacentral:rRNA from 1 species